GAUGCUUGAUGAGUCUGUACUACCCCAAAAAGAAAGUUAGGAUGCAAAUGAACAAAGGCAUCAGACCAAUAGCCUUCCUUUUGUGACUUGAAACAACUACCCCCCUAUAAAGUGCGUGGAUAUACUCUUUUAGAAUUUAUCUCCAUGAACAUCGCUUUACUAUCCUUUCACAAGUGGCCAACAGUCCUUCUGACUGACGUUUUAUUUAUUUUUUUUUGGAUAUGUAAAUACACAGAGAUUAUCAAAGACUCCUGCAGGGCAAAGAGCAAUUCUAUCCAUUUCUGCUGAUUAUGCAGAUCUACUGAUCUACUGUAUCAGGUUAAUCGUCCAUUUUCACACAAAGGUCUUAUCAACAUCAGCCUUAUUUAAAUGUGUUUAUUCCUCCAACCAAAUAAACUCAGGAUUAACACUAAUUUCCAAGAUGGGCAGAAAUGAAGUAAAGAAUCUGAGACUCUGGUGUCUCGAUUCCUUUAGGACAGAUGGCUGGUCUUGGAAGUAUUUAUAACCAGAUGACCACUGCUCUAUUCAAGAAUUACACUAUGCCACAGCCAACUUUUGAUUAUUUAUGUUAACUGAAGGCAGAAGCAUAGAUGAUCAAAACCAAUCUGCAAAUCACUUCUAAUUGGCUUUGAAAUGUCUAUUAAUUUUUUAAAGAGAUUUAUUUGAUUAUCUUUUCCUCGAGAUUAUAUGAAAAAUGACUUGUGUUCCCUGGGUCCAAGCCAAAUGAUGGGAGCAUAACCGGAAGCUGGACCCAUUCAACAUGGGCAUAAAAAUACACCACAAAUAAAAUGGAAAGCAGAAUAAUUAUAAGAGAUAAAUGAGAUGUGACUACGGGUAUUAAAAAUAAAAUAUUUGAAAGCAUGACUCCGUAUCAAGCUCUGUAUGGAAUUAGACUCGUGGAGAUGUGACUAAAGAAAAAUUCUGUGCUAUGUUAGAGUGCACAAGCUAAGGGAAAUAAAUAUAUCUAGAAACCCCUUGUGGUUGCAUUGCCAAUCUUAAAGGUUUCUCACAGAAUGAAGGGCAGAAAUAUUGCUGUUAUUAGCGUUUUCCUCUUAAAAGUUAAGGUUAAGUUUCUUUAUUAAUACCUAUAAUGAACAGGGCAUGUGAAUCACGAGCCAAUUGUGUAUGGGACUGAAAUCCUUUAGGAAUCAACAGUAUGGUAGGGUCAUGGGAAUCAGAACAGGUGGACCACAGAAAAGCAGGGCUGUCCUUCCUCUGCCUUGUUCCUCUGCCAGGGUGCCUGGCUCAAGUUCUGUCACCUGACUUAGUACAGUACCUAAGAAAUUUGGGUGUUUAAUAAGUGCGAAGUAAUAAUACACAUAGUGGAGGUAUAAUAAAUUAAUAUGAAAUGCUCCACAGUGGGACCCAUUUUAUGGAUGAGGCUAGUAAUCCAUGACCAUUGUUGUG
rnacentral:lncRNA from 1 species